GACUUAGUGGUGUAGUGGUCAGCACGCUCGACGCGUAUUCGAGAGGUCCGUGGUUCGAGUCCCGGCGAAGGCA
rnacentral:tRNA from 1 species